GGGGCUUAACUCCGCGCUUGCAGUGGGUACGGGCAGGCUUGAGUGUAGUAGGGGAGACUGGAAUUCCCUGGUGUAGCGGUGGAAUGCGCAGAUAUCAGGAGGAACACCGAUGGCGAAGGCAGGUCUCUGGGCUAUAACUGACGCUGAGGAGCGAAAGCAUGGGGAGCGAACAGGAUUAGAUACCCUGGUAGUCCAUGCCGUAAACGGUGGGCACUAGGUGUGGGGGCCUUUGGUUUCUGCGCCGUAGCUAACGCAUUAAGUGCCCCGCCUGGGGAGUACGGCCGCAAGGCUAAAACUCAAAGGAAUUGACGGGGGCCCGCACAAGCGGCGGAGCAUGCGGAUUAAUUCGAUGCAACGCGAAGAACCUUACCAAGGCUUGACAUACACUGGAAGGCUGCAGAGAUGUAGUCGCCUUCGGGCUGGUGUACAGGUGGUGCAUGGUUGUCGUCAGCUCGUGUCGUGAGAUGUUGGGUUAAGUCCCGCAACGAGCGCAACCCUUGUCUCGUGUUGCCAGCACAUGAUGGUGGGGACUCACGAGAGACUGCCGGGGUUAACUCGGAGGAAGGUGGGGACGACGUCAAAUCAUCAUGCCCCUUAUGUCUUGGGCUUCACGCAUGCUACAAUGGCCGGUACAGAGGGUUGCUAUGUCGUAAGGCGGAGCGAAUCCCUUAAAGCCGGUCUCAGUUCGGAUUGGGGUCUGCAACUCGACCCCAUGAAGUCGGAGUCGCUAGUA
rnacentral:rRNA from 1 species